rnacentral:rRNA from 1 species
GACGAACGCUGGCGGCGUGCCUAAUACAUGCCAGUAGAACGCACAGUUUAUACCGUAGCUUGCUACACCAUAGACUGUGAGUUGCGAACGGGUGAGUAACGCGUAGGUAACCUGCCUGGUAGCGGGGGAUAACUAUUGGAAACGAUAGCUAAUACCGCAUAAUAUUAAUUAUUGCAUGAUAAUUAAUUGAAAGGUGCAAUUGCACCACUACCAGAUGGACCUGCGUUGUAUUAGCUAGUAGGUGAGGUAACGGCUCACCUAGGCGACGAUACAUAGCCGACCUGCGAGGGUGAUCGGACACACUGGGACUGAGACACGGCCCAGACUCCUACGGGAGGCAGCAGUAGGGAAUCUUCGGCAAUGGACGAAAGUCUGACCGAGCAACGCCGCGUGAGUGAAGAAGGUUUUCGGAUCGUAAAGCUCUGUUGUAAGAGAAGAACGGGUGUGAGAGUGGAAAGUUCACACUGUGACGGUAUCUUACCAGAAAGGGACGGCUAACUACGUG